GGCUGGUUAGCUCAGUGGGUUGAGCGUGGUAAUGACAACACUGAGGUCGCGGGUUCGAUUCCCGCUCGGUCC
rnacentral:tRNA from 1 species